rnacentral:rRNA from 1 species
CCUACGGGUGGCAGCAGUGGGGAAUAUUGCACAAUGGGGGAAACCCUGAUGCAGCGACGCCGCGUGAGUGAAGAAGUAAUUCGUUAUGUAAAGCUCUAUCAGCAGGGAAGAAAAUGACGGUACCUGAGUAAGAAGCCCCGGCUAACUACGUGCCAGCAGCCGCGGUAAUACAGAGGUCUCAAGCGUUGUUCGGAAUCACUGGGCGUAAAGCGUGCGUAGGCUGUUUCGUAAGUCGUGUGUGAAAGGCGCGGGCUCAACCCGCGGACGGCACAUGAUACUGCGAGACUAGAGUAAUGGAGAGGUAAGUGGAAUUCCUAGUGUAGCGGUGAAAUGCGUAGAUAUUAGGAGGAACACCAGUGGCGAAGGCGGCUUACUGGACUGUAACUGACGUUGAGGCUCGAAAGCGUGGGGAGCAAACAGGAUUAGAUACCCGAGUAGUC